AUGGCUGUCGUCAGCUCGUGUCGUGAGAUGUUCGGUUAAGUCCGCUAACGAGCGCAACCCUCGCUGUGUGUUAUAUGUGUCACACGGGACUGCCGGUCUUAAGCCGGAGGAAGGUGGGGAUGAUGUCAAGUCAGCAUGGCCUUUAUAUCCUGGGCUACGACACACGCUACAAUGGCCAACACAAUAGGUUGCUAAGCCGCGAGGUGGCGCCAAUCCAAUAAAGUUGGUCUCAGUUCAGAUUGUAGGCUGCAACCCGCCUGCAUGAAGAUGGAGUUGCUAGUAACCGCAGGUCAGCUAUACUGCGGUGAAUACGUUCCCGGGGCUU
rnacentral:rRNA from 1 species